rnacentral:rRNA from 1 species
CCUACGGGGGGUAGCAGUGGGGAAUAUUGGACAAUGGGGGGAACCCUGAUCCAGCCAUGCCGCGUGUGUGAAGAAGGCCCUCGGGUUGUAAAGCACUUUCAGUGAGGAAGAACGCCUGGUGGUUAAUACCCAUCAGGAAAGACAUCACUCACAGAAGAAGCACCGGCUAACUCCGUGCCAGCAGCCGCGGUAAUACGGAGGGUGCGAGCGUUAAUCGGAAUUACUGGGCGUAAAGCGCGCGUAGGUGGCUUGAUAAGCCGGUUGUGAAAGCCCCGGGCUCAACCUGGGAACGGCAUCCGGAACUGUCAAGCUAGAGUGCAGGAGAGGAAGGUAGAAUUCCCGGUGUAGCGGUGAAAUGCGUAGAGAUCGAGAGGAAUACCAGUGGCGAAGGCGGCCUUCUGGACUGACACUGACACUGAGGUGCGAAAGCGUGGGUAGCAAACAGGAUUAGAUACCCCGGUAGUC